rnacentral:lncRNA from 1 species
GAGCACCGCCUGGCCCGACGGAGCGCCACCUAGUGCGCAGUCGCACACGGCCCAGCGCCUGGGCAGGCCCAGUGCGGGCGCGCAUGCAGGUCGGCCCAACGCUUAUGCGGUCCAUCGUGGAUCGCGGGGCGCUAGCGGUCCAUGGGAGCUGCAUGGACCGAAGUCGCGGUCCAUGCAUGGUUCAUGGUGGAUUUUGCACGAUCAGAGGGUUCAGAUUAUAGCCGGUCGUGAUCGGACGACUGAGAGCGAAUCCGAGUUUGAUCAGACGUGACCAGAGACUAUUUUGCACGAUUGGACGGUUCUGGUGUGAGCUGGUCACGAUCAGACGGUCACGGAUGAUUCUAGACUUGAUUGGAACUUUGUUUCCUACUAAAACAAUAUCUUUGUGUUUUUGGAGCCUAUAUAGUUUCGAUUGACGAACCGUUUGUUGUGUUAGAGAGCUGGUGACGUCCUAGAGGUACAGAAAGGCUUUAACUGAAGUUUUAGAGAGCUUUUGUAGGGGUUUUGAGAUUUUUUCUUGAGAGAC